UCGGGAAUUUUGGGCAAUGGGCGAAAGCCUGACCCAGCAACGCCGCGUGAGGGAUGAGGUAUUUCGGUAUGUAAACCUCGAAAGAAUGGGAAGAAUAAAUGACGGUACCAUUUAUAAGCUCCGGCUAACUACGUGCCAGCAGCCGCGGUAAUACGUAGGGAGCAAGCGUUGUUCGGAUUUACUGGGCGUAAAGGGCGCGUAGGCGGCGCGGUAAGUCACUUGUGAAAUCUCUGAGCUUAACUCAGAACGGCCAAGUGAUACUGCUGUGCUAGAGUGCGGAAGAGGCAACCGGAAUUCUUGGUGUAGCGGUUAAAUGCGUAGAUAUCAAGAGGAACACCUGAGGCGAAGGCGGGUUGCUGGGCCGACACUGACGCUGAUGCGCGAAAGCCAGGGGAGCAAACG
rnacentral:rRNA from 1 species